GACGAACGCUGGCGGCGUGCUUAACACAUGCAAGUCGAACGGAAAGGCCCUGCUUUUGUGGGGUGCGCGAGGGGCGAACGGGGGAGUAACACGUGAGUAACCUGCCCUUGACUGUGGGAUAACUUCAGGAAACUGGGUCUAAUACCGGAUAGGAGCUCCUGCUGCUUGGUGGGGGCUGGAUAGUUUCGCCGGUUGGGGAUGUACUCGCGGCUUAUCAGCUUGUUGGUGGGGUAGUGGCUGACCAAGGCUUGGACGGGUAGCCGACCUGGGAGGAGGACAUGCUCCAAUACACUGGGACUAAGGCACAGACGAGAACGGGAGGGGAGGGAGGGGUAUAGUACACAAUAGGAGGGACGCUGAUGCAGCAAAGCAGCGUGCGGGAUGAGAUCAAUGGGGUUGUAAUCCGCAUUCGCCUGAGCCGAAGCGUUAAUGACAGUAAUGGGUAAAGAAGCACCGGCUAACUCCGUG
rnacentral:rRNA from 1 species